CGGACUGGUGAGUAACACGUGAGCAACCUGCCUUUGAGAGGGGAAUAACGGCUGGAAACGGUCGCUAAUACCGCAUAAUGUACGGAUGGGACAUCCUGUCUGUACCAAAGAUUUAUCGCUCGAAGAUGGGCUCGCGUCCGAUUAGGUAGUUGGUGAGGUAACGGCCCACCAAGCCGACGAUCGGUAGCCGGACUGAGAGGUUGAACGGCCACAUUGGGACUGAGACACGGCCCAGACUCCUACGGAAGGCAGCAG
rnacentral:rRNA from 1 species